rnacentral:rRNA from 1 species
GAUGAACGCUGGCGGCGUGCCUAAUACAUGCAAGUCGAGCGAACAGAUGAGGAGCUUGCUCCUCUGACGUUAGCGGCGGACGGGUGAGUAACACGUGGAUAACCUACCUAUAAGACCGGGAUAACUUCGGGAAACCGGAGCUAAUACCGGAUAAUAUAUUGAACCGCAUGGUUCAAUAGUGAAAGACGGUUUUGCUGUCACUUAUAGAUGGAUCCGCGCCGCAUUAGCUAGUUGGUAAGGUAACGGCUUACCAAGGCGACGAUGCGUAGCCGACCUGAGAGGGUGAUCGGCCACACUGGAACUGAGACACGGUCCAGACUCCUACGGGAGGCAGCAGUAGGGAAUCUUCCGCAAUGGGCGAAAGCCUGACGGAGCAACGCCGCGUGAGUGAUGAAGGUCUUCGGAUCGUAAAACUCUGUUAUUAGGGAAGAACAAAUGUGUAAGUAACUAUGCACGUCUUGACGGUACCUAAUCAGAAAGCCACGGCUAACUACGUG